GACGAACGCUGGCGGCGUGCCUAAUACAUGCAAGUCGAGCGGACUGAUUAAGAGCUUGCUCUUAUGACGUUAGCGGCGGACGGGUGAGUAACACGUGGGCAACCUGCCCUGUAGAUCGGGAUAACACCGAGAAAUCGGUGCUAAUACCGGGUAAUAUCUGAGAUCACAUGAUCUUAGGUUAAAAGAUGGCUCCGGCUAUCACUACAGGAUGGGCCCGCGGCGCAUUAGCAAGUUGGUAAGGUAAUGGCUUACCAAGGCGACGAUGCGAAGCCGACCUGAGAGGGUGAUCGGCCACACUGGGACUGAGACACGGCCCAGACGCCUACGGGAGGCAGCAGUAGGGAAUCUUCCGCAAUGGACGAAAGUCUGACGGAGCAACGCCGCGUGAGUGAUGAAGGGGUUCGGCUCGUAAAGCUCUGUUGUUAGGGAAGAAACAGUACCGAACGAACUAGGUCGGUACCUUGACGGUACCUAACCAGAAAGCCACGGCUAACUACGUG
rnacentral:rRNA from 1 species